GACGAACGCUGGCGGCGUGCUUAACACAUGCAAGUCGAACGAUGAAGAAAAGAAUCGAAGCUUCGGCAGAAAUUCAUUUCGGAUUAGUGGCAGACGGGUGAGUAACGCGUGAGCAACCUACCUCUUACAAAGGGAUAGCCUCGGGAAACCGGGAUUAAUACCAUAUAACAUUGCGACGAAGCAUUUCGAUGCAAUCAAAGCUACGGCGGUACGAGAUGGGCUCGCGUCCCAUUAACCGGAUGGUGAGGUAAAGGCUCACCAUAGUGACGAUGGGUAACCGGGCUGAGAGGGUGAACGGUCACACUGGAACUGAGACACGGUCCAGACUCCUACGGGAGGCAGCAGUGGGGAAUAUUGCACAAUGGAGGGAACUCUGAUGCAGCGACGCCGCGUGAGUGAUGAAGGAAUUCGUUUCGUAAAACUCUGUUCUAUGGGAAGAAAAGGACUGUACCAUAGGAGAAAGCUCCGGCUAAAUACGUG
rnacentral:rRNA from 1 species